AGUAACGGCGAGUGAAGCGGGAAGAGCUCAAGCUUAAAAUCUCCGUGCAAGUUUUGCGCGGCGAAUUGUAGUCUAUAGAGGCGUGAUCAGUGUGGGCGCUUGGGGCAAGUUCCUUGGAAGAGGACAGCAUGGAGGGUGAUACUCCCGUUCAUCCCUGAGUUGCUCGUGCGUACGAUCCGUUUUCUUUGAGUCGCGUUGUUUGGGAAUGCAGCGCAAAGUAGGUGGUAAAUUCCAUCUAAAGCUAAAUAUUGGUGCGAGACCGAUAGCGAACAAGUACCGUGAGGGAAAGAUGAAAAGAACUUUGAAAAGAGAGUUAAAGAGUACCUGAAACUGCUGAAAGGGAACCGAAUCGUUUCCAGUGUCUAUAAUCCGUGGUAUAUUUCAUUGGCGAGUGUGUGCGUGCGUGUGCUGUGGCAGCGGCUUUUUUGGCUGCGCUCGGCGUGUGUGCUGUGUGUGCUUGCUGGUGCCCUGUGCUGCGGUGGGACGUCAAGGUCAGUUCGUAUGCUGCGGGAAAUGGCCGCCGAGGAGGUAGGGCUUACGCUUGCGUUUGUCUGUUAUAUCUUGGUGGACGAGUAGUCGCGGUUGGGACUGAGGUGCCUACAACGUGUUUUUGAGUGGGCCUGUGUCUCUGUGUGCGCCGUGUGCGGAUAGCUUGCUAUGCGUGUGUGGUUGUGUGUGGAUUGAUGUGGGUUUUAACUUGUUGCCGUUCGGGACGUUGACGAAAUGGAGCGAUUUGACCCGUCUUGAAACACGGACCAAGGAGUCUAACAUGUGUGCAAGUGUUAGGGUGUGGAAACCCCAGCGCGAAAUGAAAGUGAAGGGCAGCGUAAGUUGUCUGAGGUAGGAAAUGCUGCGGGCUUCGGUCUGCGGUGUGGCACUAUCGACCGAUCAUGAACCUUCGUGGUGAAAGAUUUGAGUUUGAGCACAUAUGUUGGUACCCGAAAGAUGGUGAACUAUGCCUGAGUAGGGUGAAGCCAGGGGAAACUCUGGUGGAAGCUCGUAGCGAUUCUGACGUGCAAAUCGAUCGUCAAACUUGGGUAUAGGGGCGAAAGACUAAUCGAACCAUCUAGUAGCUGGUUCCCUCCGAAAUUUCCCUCAGGAUAGCAGCAACUUAUUUACGAUAGUUUUAUGAGGUAAAGCGAAUGAUUAGAGGAUUCGGGGAAGAAACUUCCUCGACCUAUUCUCAAACUUUAAAUCUGUAAGACCUGCAGGUUUCUUAAUGAACUUGU
rnacentral:rRNA from 1 species